CGAAAGCUGUUGCGGAGUUUAUUUGUGGUCCCAUGACAUCGUUUGGAGAAAAUUCGCGGAACUGACGUGGGUUAUUUGGUGGGUUUUGGUGUUCUAGUGUUGUGGAUAGGCUGAGAAGCCCGCCAUGCCUUGUUGGCUGGUUGCUAAUACCAUCCUCGAAAUAAGAAGAUGGUAGAUUAGCGGCAGGUGGUUUCCGGAGCCAAUAAACAGCGAUUUUCGAAAAUCUGGUACGAUUGAUUUUGGAGUUUUUG
rnacentral:lncRNA from 1 species